rnacentral:rRNA from 1 species
UACGAAGGGGGCUAGCGUUGUUCGGAAUUACUGGGCGUAAAGGGCGCGUAGGCUGUGCUGUAAGUCAGGCGUGAAAGCCCCGGGCUCAACCUGGGAAUUGCGCUUGAUACUGCGGCGCUGGAAGGUGGGAGAGGAUGGCGGAAUUCCCAGUGUAGAGGUGAAAUUCGUAGAUAUUGGGAAGAACACCGGUGGCGAAGGCGGCCAUCUGGCCCACAUUUGACGCUGAGGCGCGAAAGCGUGGGGAGCGAACCGG